GCCAGCAGCCGCGGUAAUUCCAGCUCCAAUAGCGUAUACUAAAAUUGUUGCGGUUAAAAAGCUCGUAGUUGCAUUUGUGCGCCGCGCUGUCGGUGCACCGCAUCCGCGGUGAUACUGACACGUCUGCGGAGCAUAUCGUCGGUGAGCCGGCGGUAAUACGCCGGUUCAAUAUCAAAAUCCUAUCGCGGUGCUCUUCGGUGAGUGUCGAGGUGGGCCGACAAUUUUACUUUGAACAAAUUAGAGUGCUCAAAGCGGGCUCAAAAUGCUGCUUGAAUAUUUCGUGCAUGGAAUAAUAGAAUAUGAUCUCGGUUCUAUUUUGUUGGUUUUCAGAACUCCGAGGUAAUGAUUAAUAGGGAUAACUGGGGGCAUUCGUAUUGCGACGUUAGAGGUGAAAUUCUUGGAUCGUCGCAAGACGAACAUCAGCGAAAGCAUUUGCCAAAGGUGUUUUCAUCAAUCAAGAACGAAAGUUAGAGGUUCGAAGGCGAUUAGAUACCGCCCUAGUUCUAACCGUAAAUAUGUCAUCUAGCGAUCCGCCGACGUUACUACAAUGGCUCGGCGGGCAGCUUCCGGGAAACCAAAGAUUUUGGACUCCGGGGGGAGUAUGGUUGCAAAGCUGAAACUUAAAGGAUUNG
rnacentral:rRNA from 1 species